UCAACUUACUAGUCAAAUGGGAUGGGUGUGGCCCACAUAUCAUAGGCAGCAACUAAACUAUGCUACUUAAUUGAAUUAACUUAACCGAGGCUCCACUUGACAUAGGCUAUUAGUUAAACUAACUAGUUAAAUAAUUAUUAAUUACUACUAACCCACUAAGCUACACACGACUCACGCUCUCACGCUCUCACUCACAAGCACACACACACUCACGCUCCACACUCACAGGCACGUACGCCCGUGGCCUUUGCCAUGGCCAUCGCUAGCAGCAACUACUUGCAAAACAGCAGUGCUGUGGCCUGGGCAGCGGUAGCUAACAGCAGUGUAUAGCGGCAAACAUGUAG
rnacentral:lncRNA from 1 species